rnacentral:tRNA from 1 species
ACCUGGGUGGUUCAGUCGGCUGAGUGUCUGACUUUAGUUCAGGUCAUGAUCUCAUGGUUUGUGGGUUCAAGCCCCACGUCAGGCU